GCCGGAAUAGCUCAUUUGGUAGAGCAAAGGACUGAAAAUCC
rnacentral:tRNA from 3 species